UCAAGCUCAUCUCCUUAUCACUUUUCCAGCCCAGCUAACUAUUGUAAAUUUGUUGGACGGAGAACUGAUAAGGGUAUGUGUCUGA
rnacentral:pre_miRNA from 13 species